CUAAUACAUGCAAGUCGAGCGGUAACAGGGGGUCUCACCGUUUCCUUGACACACCUAGCGUAUUAUCGUAGGGAGUGAAACUUCGAGGGAACAGCGAGACCCCGCUGACGAGCGGCGGACGGCUGAGUAACGCGUGGGAACGGACCCCAAACUGAGGGAUAACUACUCGAAAGAGUGGCUAAUACCGCAUAUGAUCUUCGGAUUAAAGCUUUCGGGCGGUUUGGGACUGGCCUGCGUACGAUUAGAUAGUUGGUAGGGUAACGGCCUACCAAGUCGACGAUCGUUAGAUGGUUUGAGAAGAUGAUCAUCCAGACUGGGACUGAGACACGGCCCAGACUCCUACGGGAGGCAGCAGUAGGGAAUCUUUCACAAUGGGCGAAAGCCUGAUGGAGCAACGCCGCGUGCAGGAUGACGGCCUUCGGGUUGUAAACUGCUUUUAUUACCGAGAAAUAUGAUGGUAGGUAUUGAAUAAGGACCGGCUAACUACGUGCCAGCAGCCGCGGUCAUACGUAGGGUCCAAGCAUUAUCCGGAUUGACUGGGUGUAAAGAGUUGCGUAGGUGGCAUGGUAAGUAGAUAGUGAAAUCUGGUGGCUCAACCAUUCAGACUGUUAUCUAAACUGCCAAGCUCGAGAGCGUUAGGGGUAGCUGGAAUUUCUAGUGUAGGAGUGAAAUCCGUAGAUAUUAGAAAGAACACCGAUAGCGUAGGCAGGCUACUGGGACGUUUCUGACACUAAGGCACGAAAGCGUGGGGAGCAAACGGGAUUAGAUACCCCGGUAGUCCACGCUGUAAACGAUGGAUGCUAGCAGUUCCCGGUAUCGACCCCGGAAGUUGCGAAGCUAACGCGUUAAGCAUCCCACCUGUGUAGUACGAUCGGAAGAUUAAAACAUAAAGGGAAUUGACGGGGACCCGCACAAGCGGUGGAGCGUGAUCUUUAAUUUCGAUGGUAACGAUAAACCUUACCAAGGCUUGACAUUCCGAGGAAGGCUCUCGAAAGAGAAUGGUGCCCUUCGGGAAACC
rnacentral:rRNA from 1 species